rnacentral:rRNA from 1 species
GAGGGAAAGAUGAAAAGCNCUUUGGAAAGAGAGUUAAACAGUACGUGAAAUUGUUAAAAGGGAAACNAUUGAAGUCAGUCGUGUCUGAGAGGCUCAGCCGGUUCUGCCGGUGUAUUCCUCUCGGACGGGUCAACAUCAGUUUUGGUCGGUGGAUAAGGAUGGCGGGAAGGUGGCACCCUCGGGUGUGUUAUAGCCCGCUGUUGCAUACAUCGGUCGAGACUGAGGAAUGCAGCUCGCCUUUAUGGCCGGGGUUCGCCCACGUUCGAGCUUAGGAUGUUGACGUAAUGGCUUUAAACGACCCGUCUUGAAACACGGACCAAGGAGUCUAACAUAUCUGCGAGUGUUUGGGUGUCAAACCCGAGCGCGUAAUGAAAGUGAACGUAGGAGGGAUCCGCAAGGAGCACCUUUGACCGAUCUGGAUCUUCUGUGAUGGAUUUGAGUAAGAGCAUAUAUGCUGGGACCCGAAAGAUGGUGAACUAUGCCUG